rnacentral:rRNA from 1 species
AUUGAACGCUGGCGGAAUGCUUUACACAUGCAAGUCGAACGGUAGAGGGGGCAACCCCUCGAGAGUGGCGAACGGGUGAGUAAUAUAUCGGAACGUGCCCAGUCGUGGGGGAUAACGUAGCGAAAGUUACGCUAAUACCGCAUACGAUCUAAGGAUGAAAGCGGGGGAUCGCAAGACCUCGCGCGAUUGGAGCGGCCGAUAUCAGAUUAGGUAGUUGGUGGGGUAAAGGCUCACCAAGCCAACGAUCUGUAGCUGGUCUGAGAGGACGACCAACCACACUGGAACUGUGACACGGUCCAGACUCCUACGGGAGGCAGCAGUGGGGAAUUUUGGACUAUGGACGCAAGUCUGAUCCCGCCAUUCCGCGUGAAGGAUGAAGGCCCUCGGGUUGUAAACUGCUUUUGUACGGAACGAAAAGGUCUCUCUUAAUACGGGGGGCUCAUGACGGUACCGUAAGAAUAAGCACCGGCUAACUACGUGCCAGCAGCCGCGGUAA